GCAGCGCGGGCGCGCAUGGGCGGCUGCGGCUCCGCGCUCUUGGCGCGGCGGAUGAAUCCGGGGCUCGGCAGGCCGCGCCCGGAGCGCGGGGCUCUCACGGGCCGCUCCGCCCAUGGCCUCCCCGCUGUUACCUGCUCUGUGGAUAGGCUUCUCAUAUUGUGGAAGCUGAAGACACAGUGCAGCGCCUACAGAUUUUCGGGCCAUGCGGAAGAGGUGACAAGUGUAGAAUUCUCACCAGAUGGGCGGGUGCUGGCUUCAGCUUCUCGGGAUCACACUGUCAGGCUGUGGAUUCCUUGCAUUCACGGAGAAUCAUCAGUGCUGAAAGGUCAUACAGCAUCUGUUCGGAGUGUGAGCUUCUCCCAUGAUGGCUACUCUGUAGUUUCAGCAUCCAAUGACAAAUUAGUAAAAAUAUGGAGUGUUAGCUAUCAGCGCCUUUUGUCUACCCUAUUCCGACACACUGGUUGGGUUCGCUGUGCCAAAUUUUCAUGUGAUGGAAGAAUAAUAGCAUCCUGUGGUGAGGACAAAUCUAUUAACAUCUGGGAUACAAGAAAUAAAAUUUGUGUUAAUACCUUCUCAGAUUAUGAAGGAUUUCCAACUUAUGUGGAUUUCAACCCAAGUGGAACAUGUAUAGCUUCUGCAGGUUCCAAUAACACAGUGAAACUAUGGGAUAUUCGAACAAACAAGCUACUGCAGCAUUUCAAAGUUCACAGAGCAGGGGUUAAUUGUAUAUCAUUCCAUCCUUCUGGUAACUACCUCAUCACUGCUUCUUCUGACGGUACCCUUAAGAUUCUGGACCUCUUAGGAGAAAGACUUAUUUACACUCUUCAUGGACACAAGGGACCUGUACUUUGUGUGGCUUUUUCAAAAGGUGGUGAAAAGUUUGCCUCAGGUGGAGUGGAUGCUCAGGUAUUACUAUGGAAAACCAACUUUGAUACUUUGGAUUACGAAGAAGUUCUCGAACACAAUUUUAGAAGAACACAUCUUGAUGAUCCUCCUCAUCUUCUUGAUGUUUACCCAAGGUCACCUCACUUACAUGAUGAACAAUGUGAAUCAGUUGAGGUCGACCCUACCUUUGAUGUGCCUGAUAUAGAAACACCUGACCCAGUUAUCAUCGAUAUUAGAACAUCUUCACAUUUCAGUACUCCUGACUUUAAGAAUUCUGAGGUUGCAUUCCCUCGCUUUUUAGUCCCACAAAACGUGCAAAGUUUAGCUCAUAAUGUGCAUUUCUUAGAGAAGGCUGCAAGAUUUUGUUUACGUUGCAUAAUAAAGCUGAGCUACAGAUCAAGUAUAUCUGAAGAUAAGAUUGUAAAGAUAGUAGUAUCUGUCUCUUUGGCAAAGUGUUCAAGCAGUUGUGCUGGCCCUGUUGGAUUUAACUUUGGAGUCUGCUAUGCUGGAUUGAUAACUUAAUUUCAAAUGCUUUUAACUCUUUGAUAUUUUCCUGAGUAAACAUGCCUUCAAGAACAAGAAAUUCCUCUGGGUGUUGGCAAAAGUGAAGAACUGCCGAGUCCCUCUGCUUCUUCCUCAGCAAGAAAUUCAAAAAGGAAGGCAGAGAGUGAGAGUGGGUCAGCUGUGGGACAGCCCAGAGGCAUCUCCUCCUC